UACGGAGGGGGCUAGCGUUGUUCGGAAUUACUGGGCGUAAAGCGUGCGUAGGCGGACAUGCAAGUCGGGGGUGAAAGCCCGAGGCUCAACCUCGGAACUGCCUUCGAUACUGUGGGUCUCGAGUCCGAGAGAGGUGAGUGGAAUUCCUAGUGUAGAGGUGAAAUUCGUAGAUAUUAGGAAGAACACCAGUGGCGAAGGCGGCUCACUGGCUCGGUACUGACGCUGAGGCGCGAAAGCGUGGGGAGCAAUCAGG
rnacentral:rRNA from 1 species